UACGAAGGGUGCAAGCGUUACUCGGAAUUACUGGGCGUAAAGCGUGCGUAGGUGGUGAGUUAAGUCUGAUGUGAAAUCCCCGGGCUCAACCCUGGGAUGCGGGUGGAUACUGCCGGGCUCGAGUCCGGAAGAGGCGAGUGGAAUUCCCGGUGUAGCGGUGAAAUGCGCAGAUAUCGGGAGGAACACCAAUGGCGAAGGCAGCUCGCUGGGACGUGACUGACGCUGAGACGCGAAAGCGUGGGGAGCAAACAGG
rnacentral:rRNA from 1 species